rnacentral:rRNA from 1 species
GAUGAACGCUGGCGGCGUGCCUAACACAUGCAAGUCGAACGGACUCGAUUCUUAGGAUGAGAGUUAGUGGCGCACGGGUGAGUAACACGUAGGUGACCUACCCCAGAGCGGGGGACAACUUCUCGAAAGAGAAGCUAAUACCCCGUAUGUUCAAUCAUUCGUUUGAUUGAGUAAAGCUCCGGCGCUCUGGGAGGGGCCUGCGUCCGAUUAGCUAGUUGGUGGGGUAAUGGCCUACCAAGGCGAUGAUCGGUAGCUGGUCUGAGAGGACGAUCAGCCACACUGGCACUGACACACGGGCCAGACUCCUACGGGAGGCAGCAGUGAGGAAUAUUGCGCAAUGGGCGAAAGCCUGACGCAGCAACGCCGCGUGGAGGAUGAAGGCCUUCGGGUCGUAAACUCCUUUUCUGGGAGAAGAGACAAGGACGGUAUCCCAGGAAUAAGUCUCGGCUAACUACGUG